rnacentral:rRNA from 1 species
UACACUCCUACGGGAGGCAGCAGUGAGGAAUAUUGGACAAUGGGUGGAAGCCUGAUCCAGCCAUCCCGCGUGCAGGAAGACGGCCCUAUGGGUUGUAAACUGCUUUUAUCUGGGGAUAAACCUACUUACGUGUAAGUAGCUGAAGGUACCAGAAGAAUAAGCACCGGCUAACUCCGUGCCAGCAGCCGCGGUAAUACGGAGGGUGCAAGCGUUAUCCGGAUUUAUUGGGUUUAAAGGGUCCGUAGGCGGACUGAUAAGUCAGUGGUGAAAUCCGACAGCUUAACUGUCGAACUGCCAUUGAUACUGUUAGUCUUGAGUAAGGUUGAAGUGGCUGGAAUAAGUAGUGUAGCGGUGAAAUGCAUAGAUAUUACUUAGAACACCAAUUGCGAAGGCAGGUCACUAAGUCUUAACUGACGCUGAUGGACGAAAGCGUGGGGAGCGAACAGGAUUAGAAACCCGUGUAGUCCCAUG